rnacentral:tRNA from 1 species
GGUGCUGUGGCAUAGUGGGUAAAAGCUGCCUCCUGCAGUGCUGGCAUCCCAUGUGGCCGCUGGUUCGAAUCCCGCCGGCUCCA